rnacentral:RNase_P_RNA from 1 species
AAAGCAGGCUAUCUUAUUGCUAUACGCAAUGUAUAGAGGAAAGUCCGGACACCAUAGAGCAGCAUAACGGGUAACACCCGUCCUUUUAUUUUAUAAAAGCGGACAAGUGCAACAGAAAGCAAGUACAGCUCGGCUGUAGUGAAAUCGGUAAACUCUAUGUGGUGAAACGCCAAGUAAAUCUACGUUUUUGGGUUGCUCGCUCAAUGUAGAAGGGUAGGCGGAUAGAGCUGAUUAGCAAUAAUCAGUCAAGAUAAAUAAUAAGACUAGACAGAAUCCGGCUUAUAGGCCUGCUUUUUUC